rnacentral:rRNA from 1 species
UACGUAGGGGGCAAGCGUUGUCCGGAUUUAUUGGGCGUAGAGCGCUCGCAGGUGGUUCGAUGCGUCGUGCGUGAAAGACCCCGGCUCAACUGGGGGGGUGUCGUGCGAUACGGUCGGACUGGAGGCCAGUAGGGGGAUGCGGAAUUCCGGGUGUAGUGGUGGAAUGCGUAGAGAUCCGGAGGAACACCAGCGGCGAAGGCGGCAUCCUGGACUGGUCCUGACACUCAUGAGCGAAAGCGUGGGGAGCGAGUCCGG